rnacentral:rRNA from 1 species
UUGAUCCUGGCUCAGGACGAACGCUGGCGGCGUGCCUAACACAUGCAAGUCGAACGGAACUUCUUUAAAGGAUUUCUUCGGAAUGAAUUUGAUUAAGUUUAGUGGCGGACGGGUGAGUAACGCGUGAGUAACCUGCCUCUAAGAGGGGAAUAACAUUCUGAAAAGAAUGCUAAUACCGCAUAACAUAUAUUUAUCGCAUGGUAGAUAUAUCAAAGAUUUAUCGCUUAGAGAUGGACUCGCGUCCGAUUAGUUAGUUGGUGAGGUAACGGCUCACCAAGACCGCGAUCGGUAGUCGGACUGAGAGGUUGAACGGCCACAUUGGGACUGAGACACGGCCCAGAACUCCCUACGGGAGGCAGCAGUGGGGGGAUAUUGCGCAA